CAGUCGCCACGGGAAUACGGAGGGUGCAAGCGUUAAUCGGAAUUACUGGGCGUAAAGCGCACGCAGGCGGUCUGACAAGUCAGAUGUGAAAUCCCCGGGCUUAACCUGGGAACUGCAUUUGAAACUGUCAGGCUGGAGUCUUGUAGAGGGGGGUGGAAUUCCAGGUGUAGCGGUGAAAUGCGUAGAGAUCUGGAGGAAUACCGGUGGCGAAGGCGGCCCCCUGGACAAAGACUGACGCUCAGGUGCGAAAGCGUGGGGAGCAAACAGGAUUAGAUACCCCGGUAGUCCCUGUCUCUUAUAA
rnacentral:rRNA from 1 species